rnacentral:lncRNA from 1 species
CCUAAGCGGUGGGGAGAAGGUUGAAGGUGCUGGAACUAACCUAGAUCGCUCUGAGGGACCAGAGGGACGAAGACAGGGACGAUUUGGAGGGCGCCUACGGCUCGAGAAGAUGCCAACUGAAACAGGGCUCUCGAAGGGAAGGCAGACACUGAUAAAAACUCUGGAAUGGAAUAGGGCCCCUAAAGGUGGAAGGACGGGUUUAAAUAGACCCUGGGAUCCGGUGCC